CAGUCGUGCGAGACGGUUCCUUCGGGACCUAUAAGCGGCGAACGGGUGAGUAAUACGUGAGCGAUCUGCCCGAGGGUGGGGGAUACCCCAGGGAAACCUGGACCAAUACCGCGUACAGCGUCGGGAGUGGGUGCCCGACGUGAAAGCCGGCCUCUUCUAUGCUGGCGCCUUCGGAUGACUCGCGGCCUAUCAGCUUGUUGGUGGGGUAACGGCCUACCAAGGCUAUGACGGGUAGCUGACGUGAGAGCGUGAUCAGCCACAUUGGGACUGAGACACGGCCCAGACUCCUACGGGAGGCAGCAGUGGGGAAUAUUGCGCAAUGGGCGAAAGCCUGACGCACGACGCCGCGUGGGGGAGGAAGGCCCUAGGGUUGUAAACCCCUGUCAGGUGGGACGAACACCUUGUCGGAUAAUACCCGGCAGGACUGACGGUACCACCAGAGGGAAGCUCCGGCUAACUCGCGUGCCAGCAGCCGCGGUAAUAGGGAGGGAGCGAGCGUUGUUCGGAAUUACUGGGCGUAAAGGGCGCGUAGGCGGCCUUGUAAGUCGGUGUGAAAUGCCGGGCUCAACCGCCGUGCACUGCACCCGAUACUGCAUGGCUAGAGAACGGUAGAGGCGAGCGGGAAGUUCGCGGUGUAGCGGUGG
rnacentral:rRNA from 1 species